AUUGAACGCUGGCGGCAGGCCUAACACAUGCAAGUCGAACGAGUGGCGGACGGGUGAGUAAUGUCUGGGAACCUGCCUGAUGGAGGGGGAUAACUACUGGAAACGGUAGCUAAUACCGCAUACCCUCGGAUGUGCCCAGAUGGGAUUGGCUAGUCGGGGGGGUAAAGGCUCACCGAGGCGACGAUCCCUAGCUGGUCUGAGAGGAUGACCAGCCACACUGGAACUGAGACACGGUCCAGACUACUACGGGAGGCAGCAGUGGGGAAUAUUGCACAAGGGGCGAAAGCCGGAUGCAGCCAUGCCGCGUGUAUGAAGAAGGCCUGCGGGUUGUAAAGUACUUUCAGCGGGGAGGCGUUACCCGCAGAAGAAGCACCGGCUAACUCCGUGCCAGCCGCCGCGGUGAUAC
rnacentral:rRNA from 1 species